ensembl:lncRNA
GGUUUCAUCCAUUCCCUCUAUGGCAUAAUUAAGUCGUUCUGAAAAGCUAUUGAAUGCAUAAAUCAUUGUUAUAGAUGAGUAGAUUCAUUCCUCUGCUACUUUCCAUGCUCUAUCAUGUGGUCAAACGUCUUAAGUGGAUUGUUUCAGCAGUCGUAUUCCAGGGCGUGUGCUUGACUGACUUGAGUUAUACCCAAAAUUAAUAUGUGGGCCAUUCCUUGACAUACAGGAAGUGUUUAUUCACCAAUUGCCCCCAACACACAGAAAUUAUUAAUAGAAUGUAAUUUAAAUAACUGCAGUUUGUAACACUUUUAAUAAAACAGGAUUUCUAAAGUUCUCAGAGUAGGUACAGUAUGUUGCUGAUUCCCUCCAAUAGCUCGUAUAGCUGUGAAAGAUCUGUGUAGAUAUUUUCUUUGGGAUCAUGCAGCAAUUCUUCACUAGAAAACAGCUCAUUAUACAGGUACAUGAAUAAAUUGAGUGAACUUCUAGAAAGAAUGUACUGCACAUACAAGUAUUAUCAACUACUUGUCUGCAAAUAGUUUCUGUCCGUUGAAUUUAUGAAUGUCACUCGGUCUUCUCAAAGUAAACAUGCUUCUGUAACAGUGAUAAAUUCUGAAUGUGCUCAUGGUAUGUUUUGACCCCUUUUCCCUGCUACUAUCCCCAUGUUUUCAAGAAGGAAAAAAUACGGAAACUUGUAUUGUGAUUGCAAGGAAGUGAGGGAUGUGCCAAUAAACCAUGAAAUGGUUUGGCAAGCCUACAGGCACAGAUAGAGGAUGACUUGCAUUGUUCACGAAGUCUGUGUUGCAGGGAAGCAGAUGCAAUUAGAUUGAUGUCUCUUCAAGAGUAGGAACACCUGAGUUUAAAAAACAAACCUGCAAAUUUAGCUGCACUUUUAAAGCUGGUAUGACUUUCUGAGAAUGUAAUGCUCUCUUAGCAUCGGGCUGCAGUUUACAUGAGGUUCGCUCCUACUCACUUUUGGUGUGAGACAUUUUUAUCCAUUGUGCAAUUAGUUCAAUUUGAGCCCCCAGUUAGUUCUGAAGUGUACCUGUCAUCUGUUUUCUGUAGUGAAAAUUUUUGAGUAAGCCUGAGACACUGAUAUCAAAACUUUACUGGGACAUAUCAAAAGUGCCAUGAGGGAGAACACCAUGGGAACCUAGCAAUUGCCAUACAAAAAAAAAAAAAAAAAUCAAUGUUUCUUACCAAGCUUGUUGCCUCGGUAAUAUCUUGUUGGUAGUGAGUUUUACUAGUAAAAUAUGCAUAAAUACAAUGUAUAGUACUUUUUCUGUUUUGCUGUUGUUGCCAUUUCGUUUCACUGAACACCUACUUAUUAAAAUGCUGUUGGGAAGGCACCAAGGAUCACCCAUUCAGCCUUCUCUGACCCCCUCAUGAUUUCUAUACCUCAGUAUCUCCUCCCCUCCAAAUCAAAUAGGCCUAAUGCAUAUUCAAAUAGACACCCCUCUGUGAAUAUUGGUACUUCUGUGGCCUUUCUGGUUUUGUUCUGGCUCUUUUUGAUAAUAAUAAGACUCAAAUGCAGAUCUCAAGGUGAAAUACAUCUUAGGGAGUAAAGUUUUCAUAUUAAACCCUCUCCUGUUAAUCCAGACCAUUUUAUUUUCUUUUUAAUUACUGCUCAACAUGGACAGGUCAUAAUCGUCUAACCUGGAAGAUAACAACACAUUCAUAACUUAAUGUAAGAAUUAUCGUGCGUAUUAAUCCAUCCAAUAUAUAUUUCUUUUUCUGCCUAGGAUGAUUUUUAUAUCGCUGCUGCUAUCAUUGCCUGGUCCCUGGUUCUGUUAGAGCUUCCCCUCAUAUCUGCUUAUCCCGUGUCUGUAUUUCAGUUCACAUUCCUGUAGAUGGCUCCAAUACACAGUAUUUCCUUUCGGAAUCGUCUGUAGGAGAGGUUUCAUAGACUUAAUAAAGUACUUUUGAGUAUCAGUGGAUUAUAACUCUUCGGAUCAAGACAGUGUUUGUUUUCUGUAAAGAAAAACCAAAAAGAAAUAAGCAACUUGUUAAAAUGCAAAUACAUGUUUGUAUCAGAAAUCACUGAGUUCGACAGGGGUGUAUGAGUAAAAGGGUGCUUGUUCUCUGUGUUGUGAUCAGGUUGAGAAUGUCAUGCACAUUUGACAGCCUUUUGGAUAAUACGGGCAAUGGAAAGAGCCUUGAAGUGACUGACAACAUAAUUUAUGCUGCCAACACCACAUUAAGUGGCCUUGUGCAAAAGGAAAAAUUGGGCUUAUGUAUCUUUCUUAAACAUGUUAAUUUUUGCCUUUGUAUUACAAACAUCCUAAAAAAAAGGUCAAAAAAACCCCAGAACACAAAACCCUGGAUACUGGAUGUGAUUGCUGUCCUAAGCCAGUAUCUUAUAGCAGGGCAAAGGGCCAAAGGUAACACCAAGGAGCUGCAGAAUCACUUCCCUACCAUGGGGGCAAAUGGACAACCCCACUAGAAGACCACCGUCAAGUUGCCUUCCUAUAGGACCCUCCUGUGGGGCACAGCAUAUGAAGGCAAUCAGGAGGAUGAUGGAAUGCAGAGAUUCAUUGCAGUACUGCCAUUUUCAGGCAAUUAAGCUGUUUUCCUAAAGCUCAGUGACAUCUUUGAUCCUGAAUUGUCCCAUGGGUUUCCUUAACCUACAGUAGCAGUAGAAGGCUAGAAGGAGUCAAAGGCUUCUCAGGGCCACUAUUUUCCUGACGUCAGAAAGUUGUGUGCUUCAUCUCUCAAGUGAGCUCUUCCGCUCUGUAUGUCCCACAAACAGGUUAAAUUUUGGUCCUCAGAAUUGUUUUCUCCCCUUCUCUAAAUUCUGCAGUCUAGUUCGAAGUAGUGCUAGCCUUGAUGUAUUGCUGUCCUUUCCAGUCAGAAACUCAGAGUAGGUGCAGCACAGUGAAAAAAUGCAUGCCACUGAAAUGCUGAUUAAUGGGGAGGCAGCAGCCUUUGGUCCCUGCGAACCAGGCGGGUGGGAAACCUUGAGAAUAUGACAUAAAAAUUGUGGCUCAUGGCUCAAUAUAAAUUCAGUUGUAAAGAGAACUGUGGGCUGGACACGGCAAAUGGUUAAGCUUUACUCCUCAUCGAACUCCUGCUUGAAAAAGCUAAAUGGAUGCUAGAGUGUAUUCUUACAGCCGAUAAUAAUUGUAGUCAUGGGAGAGUGAGUUGAAGGUGCCCUGGGCCAGUUCUGCUAAGCUUCAUUUGAAGAGGUAGCAUCCUUAAUAAUGGAGAAAACCAGCUAUUUAAAACCAGUAGUUAAAGUACCUUUGUGCUUUGUUGGUAUUUUUUUGGAGCUAUUCACCAAUUAAUAAUGGACAUUUUGUAGGUUUCCAACAAGAGAGCUACAUCUUCAGGUUCAUUCUCUGGUGAUUUACCAUCAUUUAUCAUGCAGUAAAACUGUGCUUUUUGCCUGUUUGCAUCUCUGUUCCUCUCAAUACACCAAACUGCGAUGUGAGCCUUAGAAAUUUAGACUAUUGCCCAUUAUCCAUGGCUUUUAGCCUGUGUUUCAUAAACUUGACAUUUGACAUCUCCAUUAUCAGAGGGGCCAUUCAGUUAGUAAAUUAGCUGCAUCAUCCAAGGGAUGGGUGGACGGGGAGGAAAUGAAAUUAACUUCAUUUCUUUAUGUAAUAAUGAAAAGCAAUAAUUGCAAAUAUGUCGUGUUACACAAAGGCCAUAUGUAAUCUUUACCAGUGUUAAGAGUGCACUUGAACUGUGUUAUGGAAAGAGAUUGGAGCCCUCAGAACUGUAGCAUUCUUCUGUCAUAGGAAUACCUGAAUCGCUAUUACUUAACAAUGCAAGGAGCCCAUACUGCCGCUUUUCAGGAGGUGACAAAGAUGUUUAGGAGUGAAAGCAGUUCUCUUUAAAGCACUGUAUCGGAAAAGAUUGUCUUGUAAAUUUUACCUGUUGCAAGCAGGCUGGUUUGUAAAAGAUGUAUGUUUUGGUGUUUAAAAAGAAGUUUAUAAAAUAAUGUAUAUAAUGGUUUCAAAUUACCAGGCUUUUGUAGAUAUUUGAUGCCAAUCAGGUCGCUUUAAUUUCUUUUUGUUUGUUUGUUUGAUAUAAUUCUAAAGAGUCAUCAAAGUUGGUUUAAACUUUUAAGGUAACAGCAAAAAAAAAAAAAAAA